CAACUUAAAUAAAAAAAUUAGGGGUAUAAGGUGGGAGUUAAAAGCUGCUCAGCAAUGUACAUAACUCAAACAAAAAAAUUAGGGGUUUAAGGAAGUACAAUAAGCAAGCCAAAGAGGAAAAAGUGGGGAAUAAAAUUGAAUAGAGAAACAAGAGGAGAAAUAUAAGAGAAUACAAGUGACAGUGAGGAUUUUAUUAGCUAGAGAAUACGAAGGACAUAUUCCUGGCAUUGCAGGUGUCUUAUGACCGGGUGGUUCGAGUCCCCCGAAUGAACAUAUGAAAGGGAGGUUCGAGUCCCCAUUACUAUAUGUAUUGGUGCUUAGGUCACCUUGAUUAUGCUGAGAGGUUUGAGUACCCCUAUAGGCAUGUACAGUUAUGGAUAUUUUCUAGUUCGUGAUGCUCUACGCAUUGGGGGCCCUUCUAGCUAGGGGAGAGCUGGGCCCAUAUAUCUCGUGGGUGCCUUGUUCUAUGAUGGUCAUGCUACACAACCCAGGUUAAUGAUUUCACCAUUCAUGCUAACCUUGUUCCCUACAUCGGCAUGGUAUAUAUAUAUGUAUUGCAUUGGUUAUAUGCAUUGUUGGAUUGUAUUUGAAAUUUUGGCAUUAUUUUAUCCUUAUCUUUGAGUUUCAUGCUAGCCCUCCAACCGCUAAUCAUCUUUGAUGCUGUAUCCACACACGAUUCAGGUGUUGGUCAUACUAUACCUCCUACUCAGUGAUUGGACUCACGAGCAAUUUGUGUUGACUUGAAGUGUUAAGCUUCCAUAUGUCGGAAGGAUCUACUUAUUAUUUUGGUUUCUUAUGUUUACUUUAAUUUAGUCUUGAACAUCGAUUUUGGCAUGGUCGUAGGCAUGUCUUGAUUGGAUAUUGUUUGGAUUUCGGAUAAGGCUUUGCGAGACUACUAUAAGUUGGUAUGGGCGGUGUCGGCAGUGGAGUUAUCCUUGGCAUUGGUAUUGGUAUUAGGGCUGAUACCGUAUGACUAUAUUAGAUUUGUGAUUAUUCUAUUUUUUUAUGGUAUGGAUAUGGACUUGGUUAUUAUUUUGGUUUUAUUAUGGACGUUAGUUAUUAGAAAGGGUAGUGGGGUGAUCUCCGGUCCUUAUUUUGAUAUGCCCAUUAUGACUAGGGCUAGGCCCGAUUCGUAUUAGAGGGAUUGUUGACUAAGUACAAUGUAUGCUUGACAACUUUCUUGUUCAAAAACCCCUUCCACAUUUGUUACCUACUGACCUUCUCUCGCUCUAUCUUGAGAACUAUGAUUCAUCCCUUCUAAUUUAAAACAAUCUUUCCCCUAGCGAAUGCGAUAAGUAUCAACUAUGAUGGGCUCCUUUUGAAUUUUACUGCCACUUUAGUGGCUUCUCAAGAGAACCACCAUCAAACUAGCUUUUUGGUGCCUUUUCUUCUCUCUAGACUAAAAGUCCCUUGUUAUAAGUCCUUUGAUAGUCAUCCUUUAUCCAUAUCUUACUCAUAAUGAUUGUAUAUGUCUACCUAUGUAGUGGCCUUAAAUCUGUUCGCUUCUCUUUGAGCUUGAAUUAUGUCACUACACAGGACCAUAGUGAAUGCUUCUGCCGCCUAGUCAUCUGGAGCCAUUAGUUGCUCCAUUCUCUCCCUCCAUAUUACCUUUUUAUAAAUCCUUCUUUGUCAUAAAAUAAGCCUUGAUAAAGCUAUUUGUUGACGUGUUAAAGAAGUUAAUCAAAAUUUCAAGGAGCAGAGAGCUUUAGACUAAAGAUCCUCCUAAAAGAGUGUCUUUUAACCUUUUUUAGCAUGACUGACUCGGUUUUUCCUUUGAUCAAGUAUUUUCCAUUUAUGAUGGUUGUGAAGAAUAACCUAUGUUCUUGCAGUUCAUUGUUUACAUCAUACUUAGUUAUGCCAAGCAUCUUAAAUCUCUUUGAGAUAGGCCUUCUUAUGGUGUUGGCCAUGUAUGCUACUUUUGUGUAGCUCUUCGAAUUAAAUCUCUGUGUAGUGAAAAUUUAUUUUCUUCCAUAAUAUCUCCACUAUCAUUGACAAGAUCUUUGUCUCAGCCUCUGCUUUAAUUGAUUCCAUAUCGCCAAUAUGGUCGUCUAACUCUAGGUCCUGGUCUCUCCCUAGGUUCCUAAUAGAGGUGGUCUAAAUAAAUCUAUUUUUAGCUCAUCUAUGUUCUUAUUCUGCAUCUUGAACCACAACAACAACAACAAAAACAUACCCAGUAUAUUCCCACCAAGGGGGGUCUAGGGAGGGUAAGUGUACCAAGGGGGUCUAAGGAGGCUGCUCUAUGUCAUUGUAAUACCCCAAAGUUUCUUAACUAAAAUGUCAAGUAUUAGAUUCUAAAUUGAAUGAUGUUUAUUCCAUGAGGAAUUUUUAAGAUAUUCACUUUUUGUCAUAUGGGAAAUUAAAUACUCUUUCCAUUGAUAUAAAAUUUCCCUUCCAGUAGGGGUCCGCGAUAGUGGCGUGUCGCGCCAAAUUUCCAGGUUGCAAGUGAAGUGGAAACGCGAUGGCUCUGCAUCACGCCAUCCCUUAAUUUCCCAGUCGUCAAAUUCCAGUGACACGGCGUGAUAGCACCGCGUCGCGCCAGGUUUCCAAUUUGGCAAAAUUUUACUGAAA